rnacentral:rRNA from 1 species
CACGUAGGGCGCGAGCGUUGUCCGGAAUCACUGGGCGUAAAGGGCUCGCAGGCGGCCUGUCGCGUCGGCCGUGAAAGCCCGGGGCUCAACCUCGGAGGCGCGGUCGAUACGGGCAGGCUAGAGGGCGGUAGAGGGGAGUGGAACUCCCGGUGUAGCGGUGAAAUGCGCAGAUAUCGGGAGGAACACCGGUGGCGAAGGCGGCUCCCUGGACCGUACCUGACGCUGAGGAGCGAAAGCGUGGGGAGCGAACAGG